rnacentral:rRNA from 1 species
AUGGCGACCGGCGCACGGGUGAGUAACACGUAUCCAACCUGCCGAUGACUCGGGGAUAGCCUUUCGAAAGAAAGAUUAAUACCCGAUGGCAUAGUUCUUCCGCAUGGUGGAACUAUUAAAGAAUUUCGGUCAUCGAUGGGGAUGCGUUCCAUUAGGUUGUUGGCGGGGUAACGGCCCACCAAGCCUUCGAUGGAUAGGGGUUCUGAGAGGAAGGUCCCCCACAUUGGAGCUGAGACACGGUCCAAACUCCUACGGGAGGCAGCAUG